rnacentral:rRNA from 1 species
UACGUAGGGACCGAGCGUUGUCCGGAAUCAUUGGGCGUAAAGAGCGUGUAGGCGGCUAUUUAAGUCCUGCGUGAAAUCCUGCGGCUCAACCGCAGACGGGCGUGGGAAACUGGCAGACUAGAGUACGUAAGAGGGGGGUGGAAUUCCACGUGUAGCAGUGAAAUGCGUAGAGAUGUGGAGGAACACCGAUGGCGAAGGCAACCCCCUGGGACGAUACUGACGCUGAGGCACGAAAGCGUGGGGAGCAAACAGG